rnacentral:snRNA from 1 species
GUGCUUGCUUUGGCAGUACAUAUACUAAAAUUGGAACAAUAUGGAGAUUAACAUGGCCCCUGCACAAGGAUGACAUGCAAAUUUGUGAAGCAUUCCACAUUUUA